GACGAACGCUGGCGGCGUGCUUAACACAUGCAAGUCGAACGAUGAACCCGGAGCUUGCUCCGGCGGAUUAGUGGCGAACGGGUGAGUAACACGUGAGUAACCUGCCCUUGACUCUGGGAUAACUGCGGGAAACUGUAGCUAAUACCGGAUACGACCCUCGGCGGCAUCGCCAGGGGGUGGAAAGAAUUUCGGUCAAGGAUGGACUCGCGGCCUAUCAGCUAGUUGGUGAGGUAACGGCUCACCAAGGCGACGACGGGUAGCCGGCCUGAGAGGGUGACCGGACAAACUGGGCCUGAGACACGGCCAAGACUCCUAGGGGAGGCAGCAGUGGGGAAUAUUGCACAAUGGGCGCAAGCCUGGUGCAGCAACGCCGCGUGAGGGAUGACGGCCUUCGGGUUGUAAACCUCUUUUAGUAGGGAAGAAGCGAAAGUGACGGUACCUGCAGAAAAAGCACCGGCUAACUACGUGCCAGCCGCCGCCGUAA
rnacentral:rRNA from 1 species